rnacentral:rRNA from 1 species
UACGUAGGGUGCGAGCGUUGUCCGGAAUUAUUGGGCGUAAAGAGCUCGUAGGCGGUUUGUCGCGUCGGCCGUGAAAACUUGGGGCUUAACCCCAAGCCUGCGGUCGAUACGGGCAGACUUGAGUUCGGCAGGGGAGACUGGAAUUCCUGGUGUAGCGGUGAAAUGCGCAGAUAUCAGGAAGAACACCAGCGGCGAAGGCGGGUCUCUGGGCCGUAACUGACGCUGAGGAGCGAAAGCGUGGGGAGCGAACAGG